rnacentral:rRNA from 1 species
CGCUCUUUGCAAAGAAUCUAAUGUAUAAGGAGUCCUGCCUGCCCGGUGAACAUAGUUUUAACGGCCGCGGUAUAUUGACCGUGCAAAGGUAGCAUAAUCAUUUGCCUUUUAAUUGGGGGCUGGUAUGAAUGGCAAGACGGGAAUUUGACUGUCUCUCUCUUGAAUCUUGAAGUUAAUAUUUCUGUGAAGAAGCGGGAAUACAGUCGUAGGACGAGAAGACCCUGUCGAGCUUAAGCAGACAAAGUGUAAUUACUAAUACUGUUUAUGUUGCUAAGUAGUUGUUAAUAAUAAAGGUUAAUUUUACUUUAAAGGAUGGUGGUAAUUGUGUGCUUGAUGCUUGGGUUGGGGCAACCGCGGAGAAGAAGAAUCCUCCGCUUAGAAAUACCUUGAAGGGAUACCUUUUGGGAUAUAUAAUAAUGUGAUAAGUGAUCCUCAGAAAUUGAGAACAGAAGAAUAAGUUACCGCAGGGAUAACAGCGUAAUUUUCUUGGAGAGUUCAUAUUGAUAAGAGAGUUUGCGACCUCGAUGUUGGAUCAAGACUACCAGGAGGUGUAGCAGCUUCUAAGGGUUGGUCUGUUCGACCAUUAAAGUCUUACG